rnacentral:rRNA from 1 species
AGUGAACGCUGGCGGUAGGCCUAACACAUGCAAGUCGAACGGCAGCACAGUAAGAGCUUGCUCUUACGGGUGGCGAGUGGCGGACGGGUGAGGAAUACAUCGGAAUCUACUUUUUCGUGGGGGAUAACGUAGGGAAACUUACGCUAAUACCGCAUACGACCUACGGGUGAAAGCAGGGGAUCUUCGGACCUUGCGCGAUUGAAUGAGCCGAUGUCGGAUUAGCUAGUUGGCGGGGUAAAGGCCCACCAGGGCGACGAUCCGUAGCUGGUGUGAGUGGAUGAUCAGCCACACUGGAACGUGGACACGGUCCAGGCUCCUAAGGGAGGCAGCAGUGGGGAAUAUUGGGCAAUGGGCGCAAGCCUGGUCCAGCCAUACCGCGUCGGUGGAGAAGGCCUUCGGGUUGUAAAGCCCUUUUGUUGGGAAAAAAAAGCAGCAGGUUAAUACCCCGCUGUUCUGACGGUACCCAAAGAAGAAGCACCGGCUAACUUCGUG